AUCAAAAUGAAAGCAAAAGCUUUUUCUUCAUAUUCUCUAGGCAACAGAGGGAAGGUUAUCACAAUGUGCUGAGAGCAAGAGAGGAAAUAGAGAGUAUCUCUGGUUGAAAGCCCUGGAGGAGAGACGAUAUUGAUAAAAACUUUAUUGAUGCUACGCCUGUAACAAGCAUCAGCUAUAGGCAGAGAGUGGUGUCCAG